rnacentral:rRNA from 1 species
UAGCAAUUCCAUGGAAAGUCUAGUGGCGAACGGGUGCUUAACACGUGGGCAACCUGCCGGGAAGUGGGGGAUAGCUCGCCGAAAGGAGAAUUAAUACCGCAUGUGAGUAGAGAGGACAUCCUUUCGAAAUUAAAGUCGGGGCAACCUGACGCUUCUUGUGGGGCCCGCGGCCUAUCAGCUAGUUGGUGAGGUAACGGCUCACCAAGGCUUUGACGGGAAGCUGGUCUGAGAGGACGACCAGCCACACUGGGACUGAAACACGGCCCAGACACCUACCGGUGGCAGGAGUCGAGAAUUUUUGACAAUGGGGGAAACCCUGAUCGAGCGACGCCGCGUGGAGGAUGAAAGGCUUCGGAUUGAAAACUCCUGUCAUUGGGGAACAAGGCGCAUACGUUAACUGCGUGUGCAUUGAUAGUACCCGAAGAGGAAGAGACGGCUAACUCUGUGCCAGCAGCCGCGGUAAUACAAAGGUCUCAAGCGUUGUUCGGAUUCAUUGGGCUGUAAAGGGUGCGUAGGCGGCGCGGUAAGUCGGAUGUGAAAUCUCGGAGCUUAACUCCGAAACUGCAUUCGAUACCGCCGUGCUUGAGGACUGGAGAGGAGACUGGAAUUCUCGGUGUAGCA